GCUAUACUGUCUGUAAUCUAAAGUAUUAGGUAAAAAUUAAUAAAUAUAAAUGUAUUCAUGAUUGUAAUUGUAGCUGUCAUUUUCAGUUGUCAGAUGCAAUGGAGUUCUGCAAUGGUAUAAUGCCCUACUCCAACAUCCCAGCAUAAGAUGUAUACUACACCAAAAAACUGACACUCAUUGGAAUGAGGGAGAAAUAAAUAUAAUUUGGUUCUUUGAAGUCAUACUUGAAAAGAGAAUUCUGAAUUAUUCUUUCAAGAGUAUCCUGAUGCAUAUAUCAAGCUCAGUGAAUUUGGACUCUUCUCUUUCUUAGAAUAAUAGAUGUCCCACUACAUUGGAAAUUCCAUUAAAUUACAUAUUAAAUGUAUACCAUAACUAACUGAAUUCAUCAUGGUGUCUGAGUUUUGUGAGUAUCAAAUAGCAAAAUGAAUCAAAGGUUAUUGAACAAAAGUGACAUUUUUCAAAGUCUUUCCGGAUAGUUUCUGAUUUCUUUUUGUGCCCAAUUUUCACUUCAAGUUCUGAUAUAAGUGCUUUGUAGUUAGUCGCCUUGUUGAAAGUUGCUUGUCUUGGGACCUAUUGUUCUUAAGUUCGUCCUUUGUUUUUAAAGAUACACAAUUUUAUACUGUCAGUAGCCAGAGAGUUAGAGCCUUUGUGAUGACUUUGAACUAAGACAUUGUCAGCCUUGCAAUCUCUGACAAGGUAUCUCCAUUGUCUAAGCCUCCACAGUGAAGGAAGCCAUCUCUUACUUAUUAGUUCCAAGAGCUAUUACAUGACAGUUAUCUCUUAUUAGUUCCAAGAGCUAUUACAUGACAGUCCAUUUAAUGAAAGAUCACAUUCCCUUCUACAACCUAAUUAGGUCACAGGUAUUAAAGCUCUACAGAAUAAAAUAGGAAAACUAAAUUAUC
rnacentral:lncRNA from 1 species